ACAGAGGGUGCGAGCGUUAAUCGGAAUUACUGGGCGUAAAGCGCGCGUAGGCGGCUUCGCAAGUCGGGUGUGAAAUCCCCAGGCUUAACCUGGGAACUGCAUUCGAGACUGCAUUGCUAGAGUAUGGGAGAGGGAAGUGGAAUUUCAGGUGUAGCGGUGAAAUGCGUAGAUAUCUGAAGGAACAUCAGUGGCGAAGGCGGGUUGCUGGGCUGACACUGACGCUGAUGCGCGAAAGCUAGGGGAGCGAACGGGA
rnacentral:rRNA from 1 species